GUUUGGAAAGAGUUCCAGCUUCAUCACGGAGUUUCUCUCGGUUUGUGGGCUCAUCUAAAGCUGAUCAGCAGGAGGAGAAGAGUCUGACAGAGCAACAGGUGAACAAUUUCAGCUGUUUGGACUCAGCUCAACUGCUACAGUGGAAAAAAAUGUCAUCAACACAAAAGGACCAACAUGGAGCGAGACGUCAGCGCUCUCAGGAGGCCGACAAACCUCACAGAAGAAAGAGAGAGAAAACAUACAGCUGUGAUGAGUGUGGGAAGUCUUUUACCCGUCCUGAAAGCUUAAAAAGACACCAACUCAUACACAGUGGAGUUAAAGCACACAGCUGUGAGUUGUGUGGAAAGUCUUUUACACAGAGUGCAUACUUAAAAACACACCAACUCAUCCACAGUGGAGUUAAAGCAUACAGCUGUGAGUUGUGUGGAAAGUCUUUUACCCUUACUCAAACCUUAAAACAACAUCAACUCAUCCACAGCGGAGUUAAAGGGUACAGCUGUGAGUUGUGUGGAAAGUCUUUUAACCGGGCUGGAAGCUUAAAAACACACCAACUCAUCCACAGUGGAGUUAAAGCAUACAGCUGUGAGUUGUGUGAAAAGUCUUUUACCCAUGCUGAAAGCUUAAAAACACACCAACUCAUCCACAGUGGAGUUAAAGCGUACAGCUGUGAGUUGUGUGGACAGUCUUUUACCCAGGCUGGAAGCUUAAAAGCACACCAACAUGUUCACAGUGGAGUUAAGCCGUAUACUUGUGAUGAAUGUGGAAAGUCUUUUACCCAGGUUGGAAGCUUAAAAAGACACCAACUCAUCCACAGUGCAGUUAAAGCGUACAGCUGUGACUUCUGCGGACAGGCUUUUCACCGUCCUGAAAGCCUAAAAAGACACCAACUCAUACACAGUGGAGUUAAAAAGUACAGCUGUGAGUUGUGUGGAAAGUCUUUUACUUUAUAUCAAAAUUUCAAAAGACACCAACUCAUCCACAGUGGAGUCAAAGAAUA